AUAUAUAUUCGAAAUGCUAGCCAAAAGCAGAGAUGAGAAAGAAAACCAGUGGCCACGGGAAUCAAUUGCGAGUUGUGCCGGUGUUGGUGUGCAGCAACGACAGCUCGGGUCGCGUUGCCGGUGGUGCCUAGAGCUACGGUGCAAACCACACACGACGUGGGUGGCGCUGAACAGCCGGGGCAGAAGGCAAAGUGGGCGACAUUUGCUUGAAACUGUGAUGAAGAUUAGUGUGCAAAUGGCAGAGCCUUCUUGAAGAAGAAGAACAGUUGGGUUGAUCUCUGUGUAAAGAGGGGGAGCCGAAGUGGCUGUGCAACAAAGAAAAAGGAAGAGGGCUUUGAGCAAAGAUUCAACUAGAUCUUGAAGUCCAAAGAUCAAUAAAUCUGAAACAGUGAAGGGAAUGAAAUUAGUUGAGUAAAAAUCAAAACCCAUUUAUAUAUAUGUAUAUAUAAAGAGCUCACUCACAGAUCUGAAGCAGUGUAGAAGAAAUAAAAGAAAUGGGCAGAGUAAGCACUGUGGAAGGAAGAAUUAAACCAAAGCUCAUCAAAAUGAAGAGCUGGCUUGGGUCCAAGAACAACUAGGACGGGUUGGCAGCAGCGUGAGCACUAGUAUUCCGAGAGCCAAAUCAGUCCGAGAAAUUUCUGGCUAGACCGACUAACGACGCGUUGAGAGGGCGGCGUGGUCGGCGUCAACAGUGACCUCACGAAGGCCGACGACAAUGGCUUGUGUGGCCUUUGGUCCAGCAACUACGGAGCUCCAAUUGAAGAAGAGGACAUCUGGGUUUGUCUUGGAGAGAGAGAGUCAGCCGCAUGGAUUUCAAAAAAAAAAAGAAAAAGAAAAGAAAGCUGGUGGUGUCGGCAGCAAGAGAGCGCCGCUGUGCAACAAAGAAGAAAAGAGAAGGUGUGCAGAAUAGGGUUUUCGAGCCUUUCUUUAAAUAGAAAAAUAGGGGAGCAUUAUCCUUGAAUAUACUGUUAGAGUAUUCUAAAUAUAUGUAUACCGUGUUUGCCAAACAACGAAGAAAAAAAAACGUCCGUGAGUCUUGUGCAAGCAAAAAAAAAAAAAAAA